UUAAGGUCUAACCUGCCCAAUGAAAAAUUUAAAUGGCCGCAGUAUUUUGACUGUGCAAAGGUAGCAUAAUCAUUUUUUUUAAUUGAAAGCUUGUAUGAAGGGUUGGACGAGAUAAAAACUGUCUUAAAUUAAUUUAUUUUAGAAUUUAAUUUUUAAGUUAAAAAGCUAUAAUAAAAAGACGAGAAGACCCUAUAGAUCUUUAUAAUUUUUUUUUAAUUAAAUUUUAGAAUUAAUUAUUAUUUAAUUAAAAAUAUUAUAUUGGGGUAAUAUAAAGAUUAAAGUAAUUCUUUAUUUAUUAAUACAUUAAUUUAUGAUUAUUUGAUCCAAUAUUAUUGAUUAUAAGAUUAAGUUACCUUGGAUAACAGCGUAAUUUUUUUAGAGAGUUCAUAUCGAUAAAAAAGUUUGCGACCUCGAUGUGGAUUAAAAAUUAUCCUAGUGCAGAAGUUUAGGAUUUUGGUCUGUUCGACCAUUAAAUUUUU
rnacentral:rRNA from 1 species